rnacentral:rRNA from 1 species
AACGAACGCUGGCGGCAUGCUUUACACAUGCAAGUCGAACGGUAACAGGCCGCAAGGUGCUGACGAGUGGCGAACGGGUGAGUAAUGCAUCGGAACGUGCCCAGUCGUGGGGGAUAACGCAGCGAAAGCUGCGCUAAUACCGCAUACGAUCUAUGGAUGAAAGCGGGGGACCGUAAGGCCUCGCGCGAUUGGAGCGGCCGAUGUCAGAUUAGGUAGUUGGUGGGGUAAAGGCUCACCAAGCCGACGAUCUGUAGCUGGUCUGAGAGGACGACCAGCCACACUGGGACUGAGACACGGCCCAGACUCCUACGGGAGGCAGCAGUGGGGAAUUUUGGACAAUGGGCGCAAGCCUGAUCCAGCAAUGCCGCGUGCAGGAAGAAGGCCUUCGGGUUGUAAACUGCUUUUGUACGGAACGAAACGGCUCUGGUUAAUACCUGGGGCUAAUGACGGUACCGUAAGAAUAAGCACCGGCUAACUACGUGCCAGCCGCCGCCGUAACAC